rnacentral:rRNA from 1 species
CCUACGGGAGGCAGCAGUGGGGAAUAUUGCACAAUGGGGGAAACCCUGAUGCAGCGACGCCGCGUGAGUGAAGAAGUAUUUCGGUAUGUAAAGCUCUGUCAGCAGGGAAGAAAAUGACGGUACCUGACCAAGAUGCACCGGCUAUCUACGUGCCAGCAGCCGCGGUAAUACGUAGGGGGCAAGCGUUAUCCGGAUUUACUGGGUGUAAAGGGAGCGUAGACGGCAGGGCAAGUCUGGAGUGAAAGGCGGGGGCUCAACCCCCGGACUGUUCUGGAAACUGCCAGGCUGGAGUGCAGGAGAGGUAAGUGGAAUUCCUGGUGUAGCGGUGAAAUGCGUAGAUAUUAGGAGGAACACCAGUGGCGAAGGUGGCUUACUGGACUGUAACUGACGUUGAGGCUCGAAAGCGUGGGGAGCAAACAGGAUUAGAUACCCCUGUAGUC